GGCCGGUUAGCUCAGUUGGUUAGAGCUUGGUGCUGAUAACACCAAGGUCGUGGGUUCCAUCUCCAUAUGGGCCA